rnacentral:rRNA from 1 species
CUCUCGCUUUUGUGCCACCUAGGGGUGGUGGCAGAAUAAAGGGCUUGGCAAGACCGGUGCCAGCGCGCCGCGGGUAAUACCCGCCAGCCCCAGAGUGAUGGCCGAUCUUAUUGGGCCUAAAAGCGUCCCGUAGCUGGCCGCGCAAGUCCCAUCGGGAAAUCCCACCUGCUCAACAGGUGGGCGUCCGGUGGAAACUGUGUGGCUUGGGACCGGAAGGCGCGACGGGUACGUCCGGGGUAGGAGUGAAAUCCCGUAAUCCUGGACGGACCGCCGAUGGCGAAAGCACGUCGCGAGAACGGAUCCGACAGUGAGGGACGAAAGCCAGGGUCUCGAACCGGAUUAGAUACCCGGGUAGUCCUAGCCGUAAACAAUGCCUGCUAGGUGUGGCUCCCACUACGAGUGGGUGCUGUGCCGUAGGGAAGCCGCUAAGCAGGCCGC